GCUUCCUUGGUGUAGUCGGUUAUCACGUCGGUCUCAUAGCUUAUCUUGCCUAUGACUGUUCUCAGCAGCAGAUAUCCGAAGGUCGCCAGUUCGAAUCUGGCAGGGAGCA